rnacentral:tRNA from 2 species
CGGACUAUGGCGCAGCUUGGUAGCGCACUACACUGGGGGUGUAGGGGUCGCAGGUUCAAAUCCUGUUAGUCCGAC